rnacentral:rRNA from 1 species
CCUACGGGAGGCAGCAGUAGGGAAUAUUCCACAAUGGACGAAAGCCUGAUGGAGCAACGCCGCGUGGGUGAAGAAGGUCUUCGGAUCGUAAAACCCUGUUGUUAGAGAAGAAAGUGCGUGAGAGUAACUGUUCACGUUUCGACGGUAUCUAACCAGAAAGCCACGGCUAACUACGUGACAGCAGCCGCGGUAAUACGUAGGUGGCAAGCGUUAUCCGGAUUUAUUGGGCGUAAAGGGAACGCAGGUGGUCUUUUAAGUCUGAUGUGAAACCCUUCGGCUUAACCGGAGUAGUGCAUUGGAAACUGGGAGACUUGAGUGCAGAAGAGGAGAGUGGAACUCCAUGUGUAGCGGUGAAAUGCGUAGAUAUAUGGAAGAACACCAGUGGCGAAAGCGGCUCUCUGGUCUGUAACUGACGCUGAGGUUCGAAAGCGUGGGUAGCAAACAGGAUUAGAUACCCCAGUAGUC